GCAGAGCAUCCUACGGGAGGCAGCAGUGGGGAAUAUUGCACAAUGGGCGCAAGCCUGAUGCAGCCAUGCCGCGUGUAUGAAGAAGGCCUUCGGGUUGUAAAGUACUUUCAGCAGUGAGGAAGUGGGUAUGUUAAUAGCAUACUCAUUUGACGUUAGCUGCAGAAGAAGCACCGGCUAACUCCGUGCCAGCAGCCGCGGUAAUACGGAGGGUGCGAGCGUUAAUCGGAAUUACUGGGCGUAAAGCGCAUGCAGGUGGUUUGUUAAGUCAGAUGUGAAAGCCCGGGGCUCAACCUCGGAAUUGCAUUUGAAACUGGCAAACUAGAGUACUGUAGAGGGGGUAGAAUUUCAGGUGUAGCGGUGAAAAUGCGUAGAGAUCUGAAGGAAUACCGGUGGCGAAGGCGGCCCCCUGGACAGAUACUGACACUCAGAUGCGAAAGCGUGGGGAGCAAACAGGAUUAGAUACCCUGGUAG
rnacentral:rRNA from 1 species